CUCUGUUUUUCGCUCUAUUUCUCGCCUUAUCCUCUUCCUCUUCAAUAUCAAUUCUACUAGCCUCCACCGCCUCCAUCUUUGCUGCUCGCUGGCGCGAGUUAGCCCCGGUCUCCACUGCUGAUUUCGGCCGCCCUGCAUUAUGCCCCAGCACGUACACUCGCGGCAAACCCUAGCCGUUGGCGUUCGCGUUGGCGAUAUGCGGGCUAGCCGUUGGUAGCGGUGGCUCGCCCCUGCACUACAACCCGACGACCUGGUUCUGUUCGUUGCUGUUUUGGCACUACACCUCCUCCGCGGCUGAACGUCGCAUGGGGAGGCCGACGAGGGCCCAUCAAAGGCGGAGGAGGCACUGAUGGAUGAGGAGAAGCGGGGCAUGUACGCCUCCAUGGAGAGCUUCGUCGGCAACGGUUAGAACGGCUCGGGGCUCUUCACUGAUCCCCCGUCGACAGACUCGCAUCUAGAUGAACUUUCUUAUCUUAAUGGAAGCACUGAUAUAUAGUCAUAGUUCAACCUACGCGGAACAGAUGUUUGAGGGUGGAUUGAGGAUUAACGAGAUCCAUUAUGAUGCAGAUCCUCAAAUCAACGUACGAUAGAGAACAUAUAAAUCUCUGGCUCUAAUUGUAUUUAAUAAUGGGCAGGAGGUCCUCCAAACAUAGUUUGGAAAUUUAAAUUAGAAAAUGGACCACACUGGAGAAUAAUUGUCCGUCAGGUGCAGAUGGAGUGCCGCGUGCCGGAUUUCUUGCCCAUCUAAUCUAUUGUGUCAGGAAGAGAACCUCGGAAUUACCUGCAGCUCUCAACGAUCCUCAUUGGCGUGCUGCGAUGCAAGAAGAAUAUAAUGCACUCAUGGAAAACAAAACAUGGACUCUUGUUCCCUCAAGCACAAACAAAAAUUUGAUAGAUUGCAAGUGGGUUUAUCGUAUCAAGCAUCGUGCUGAUGGUACAAUUGAUCGUUAUAAGGCACGACUUGUUGCAAAAGGCUUUAAACAAAGGUAUGACAUUGACUAUGAAGAUACCUCCAGUCCAGUUGUCAAAAUAGCUACUAUCAAAAUUGUUCUAUCUAUUGUUGUCUCUCGUGGUUGGAGUCUUCGGCAGCUAUAUGUCAAAAACGCGUUUCUUCAUGGUGUUCUGGAAGAGGAAGUCUACAUGAAGCAACCACCUGGUUUUGAACAUCCUGAUGCUCCACAUCAUAUUUGAGACUUGAUAAAACUCUAUAUGGACUCAAGCAAGCUCCUCGAGCAUGGUAUUCUCGGCUGAGUGCCAAACUCCAAGAUUUUGGGUUUAUUCCUUCCACGGCUGAUACCUCAUUAUUCCUAUACAACAAGUCUGGUGUUACAAUCUUUGUCUUGAUUUAUGUUGAUGACAUUAUUGUGACAAGCUCCUCUGAUCGUGCUAUAUCAGCCUUACUUCAGGAUCUCAGUGCUCACUUUGCUAUCAAAGAUUGGGGUGAUCUUCAUUUCUUUCUCGGUAUUGAAGUAAAAAUGACUGCUGAUAGUCUCCUCCUCACACAAGCAAAAUAUGCACAUGAUCUUCUCGUCAAAGUUGGCAUGCUUGACUGUAAGCCAGCGCCUACACCCCUGUCUCCAUCCGAGCCACUAUCAUUACAUGAAGGUACUCCUCUUGGUCCUGAGGACAGUUCUCAAUAUCGAAGCAUUGUUGGUGCUCUUCAGUACCUCACUCUUACUCGUCCAGAUCUGUCUUUUUUGGUUAACAAGGUCUGUCAAUACCUUCAUGCUCCCACCACUGCUCAUUGGACUGCAGCUAAACGUAUACUUCGUUAUGUUAAAAAUACAUCGCAGCUCGGUAUUACCUUCAGAAAAUCUUCUUCUACACUUCUUAGUGCCUUUUCAGAUGCAGAUUGGGAAGGAUGUAUUGUGGAUCGACGCUCCACUGGAGGUUUUGCUAUUUUUAUUGGUCCAAACUUGGUCUCAUGGAUUGCUCGGAAGCAAGAAUCAGUGUCCCGUUCUAGCACUGAAACUGAAUACAAAGCGUUGGCGAAUGCUACUACAUAAUUAAUAUGGGUGGAACCUCUUCUUCAUGAACUUGGGGUACGCAUUCGAGAGAAGCCUUGUCUAUGGUGCGAUAAUCUGGGCGUCACAUAUCUAUCGGCAAAUCAUAUUUUUCAUGCCCGCACAAAGCAUAUUGAGAUAGAUUAUCACUUUGUUCGUGAACGUGUUGCACACAACCGUCUUGAUAUUAAGUUUAUCUCUACCAAGGACCAAAUAGCUGAUGAGUUUACUAAGACUCUUCCUGUAAAAAGCUUAGAUGAGUUUAAGCGUAAUAUAAACCUCUCCCGCGCUUUAGAUUAAAGGGGGAUGUUAGCAUAUGUAAUAUGGUACGUGUAUAUGUACGGAGUAGUACUCCGACUAUACACGUACAUCUCAUGUAUUGCCACGUAGGGAGCUUUCCUCUACUCUAUAUAACACGCAACCGAUGGUCCGAGAGGGCACGCAUCGUUCCACCAAAACCAACAAUCACAUGGGUUCAAUCAGUUCUUAAAGAAUUGGGAGUUCCUCAGCCAUGAGCACCAGUUCUAUGGUGUGACAAUUUAGAUGCUACCCACCUUACCGCAAAUCCCAUGUUUCAUGCGAGGACUAAGCACAUCGUGGUCCACUUCCAUUUUGUAUGGAAGAAGGUGGCCCAUGUGCUCUGGUGAUCAAGUGGCGGAUGCAUUUACCAAACCUGACACCAAAGUGAUG